ACCAAAUCAUUUAUUUAUGAAACUUUGUAUGUAUCAUUUAUGUAAAUGUACUACUCAAGAUAUAUAUAUCUCAUGCAAAAAAAUGCUUAUCUCCAUAGUUAUAAUAAAUUCCACCAACCAACAUCAUGUAAAUAUCACCAAAUACAUAUAUUAAUUCAAGGCACCACUUAAAUAGAUUCUAAUGUCCUUAAAUCCGAACCAUUUAGUUCUCUUAAUAAAUAAUUAGCAACUCAUUCUCAAUUCCGCAGGCACAUGUAUACAAACAUUCAUGCAGUCUUCAAUAUAUAUAUUCCAUAUUCAACACGUAUUAAAUAAAAAUAGCACACUUUCAUCAUCUAACUUCAACUUAUUAAUCCUAUAUAACUUAUCUUCUUACAUACUUAAAUUAUAUACGAAUUAUUUAUUCCAUAUAAGGAUUUUUGUUUAAACCAUCCCGUUAGCAUCAGUAACUAAAUCACAUCUCUAAAGAACAAGGAUACAAAUUUUACUCAUUAAACAACUUGACUCUAACCGGAUUGCGAACAACGCUGAAGAGGAAAGCAAGGAAGACUAUGUCAAGACAUGACAGGAAUUACUCCGCAGUUACAUCUAGACUUAUGAACUUUUGCUCUGAUACCACCUUUGUCAUGAC
rnacentral:lncRNA from 1 species